CGUGGGUAACCUGCCCAAGAGAUCGGGAUAACACCUGGAAACAGAUGCUAAUACCGGAUAACAACAGAUGAUGCCUAUCAACUGUUUAAAAGAUGGUUCUGCUAUCACUCUUGGAUGGACCUGCGGUGCAUUAGCUAGUUGGUAGGGUAACGGCCUACCAAGGCGAUGAUGCAUAGCCGAGUUGAGAGACUGAUCGGCCACAUUGGGACUGAGACACGGCCCAAACUCCUAGGGGAGGCAGCAGGU
rnacentral:rRNA from 1 species